GCCCCCCGGCUCAACCCGGGGAGGGUCAUUGGAAACUGGGAGACUUGAGUGCAGAAGAGGAGAGUGGAAUUCCAUGUGUAGCGGUGAAAUGCGUAGAUAUAUGGAGGAACACCAGUGGCGAAGGCGGCUCUCUGGUCUGUAACUGACGCUGAGGCUCGAAAGCGUGGGGAGCGAACAGGAUUAGAUACCCUGGUAGUCCACGCCGUAAACGAUGAGUGCUAAGUGUUGGAGGGUUUCCGCCCUUCAGUGCUGCAGCAAACGCAUUAAGCACUCCGCCUGGGGAGUACGACCGCAAGGUUGAAACUCAAAGGAAUUGACGGGGGCCCGCACAAGCGGUGGAGCAUGUGGUUUAAUUCGAAGCAACGCGAAGAACCUUACCAGGUCUUGACAUCCUUUGACCACUCUAGAGAUAGAGCUUCCCCUUCGGGGGCAAAGUGACAGGUGGUGCAUGGUUGUCGUCAGCUCGUGUCGUGAGAUGUUGGGUUAAGUCCCGCAACGAGCGCAACCCUUAUUGUUAGUUGCCAUCAUUUAGUUGGGCACUCUAGCGAGACUGCCGGUGACAAACCGGAGGAAGGUGGGGAUGACGUCAAAUCAUCAUGCCCCUUAUGACCUGGGCUACACACGUGCUACAAUGGGAAGUACAACGAGUUGCGAAGUCGCGAGGCUAAGCUAAUCUCUUAAAGCUUCUCUCAGUUCGGAUUGUAGGCUGCAACUCGCCUACAUGAAGCCGGAAUCGCU
rnacentral:rRNA from 1 species